rnacentral:rRNA from 1 species
UACGUAGGUGGCAAGCGUUGUCCGGAAUUAUUGGGCGUAAAGGGCGCGCAGGCGGCCGGUCAAGUCUGUCUUAAAAGUGCGGGGCUCAACCCCGUGAUGGGACGGAAACUGGCAGGCUGGAGUGUCGGAGAGGAAAGCAGAAUUCCUAGUGUAGCGGUGAAAUGCGUAGAUAUUAGGAGGAAUACCGAGUGGAGAAGCGUCUU